AACGCGAAGAACCUUACCAGCUUUUGACAUGCCCGGUAUGAUCGCCAGAGAUGGCUUUCUUCCCGCAAGGGGCCGGUGCACAGGUGCUGCAUGGCUGUCGUCAGCUCGUGUCGUGAGAUGUUGGGUUAAGUCCCGCAACGAGCGCAACCCUCGCCCUUAGUUGCCAUCAUUAAGUUGGGCACUCUAGGGGGACUGCCGGUGAUAAGCCGCGAGGAAGGUGGGGAUGACGUCAAGUCCUCAUGGCCCUUACAGGCUGGGCUACACACGUGCUACAAUGGCGGUGACAAUGGGAUGCGGAAGGGUGACCUCGAACAAAUCUCAAAAAGCCGUCUCAGUUCGGAUUGCACUCUGCAACUCGAGUGCAUGAAGGUGGAAUCGCUAGUAAUCGCAGAUCAGCACGCUGCGGUGAAUACGUUCCCGGGUCUUGUACACACCG
rnacentral:rRNA from 1 species